UAAAGGACAAAAAGACCCUCUGAAGCUUUAUAGGGAUAAAAUCUAGUACACAUCCAGGCGUUUAUAAGCUGAUGGCCCCAAGAAGCGAGACGAUGACGAUAAAGAGCCAGAAGAUGCAGCGUGGUAAAACAAGACUGUUUAAUUGGGGCGAUAAGCUUAUCUAAUCCACCUAAGGUGAACAAAGCCAUCCAAUGAGCCCAACUAAUAAGUGCAAAGAUACAUGUUUCGCUUAAUGGCCCAAGAAGUCCUUGCCAGUAUUUAAAUGCUAUCUUAAUGAGCUUAAAAUUAAUCUACCAACACCAAGCUACUCUACGGAUAACAGGCUUAAUUUCGGGAAUACGAAAGCUCACAUUAUCAAGAAAAAUGCACCUCGAUGUCGGCUUAUCAUCACCAAAAUCUGUAGCUAGCUUAUUGGUGGGAGUGCUCAUCCCGUAAAUCG
rnacentral:rRNA from 1 species